UACGGGGGGGCAAGCGUUGUUCGGAAUUACUGGGCGUAAAGGGCUCGUAGGCGGCCAACUAAGUCAGACGUGAAAUCCCUCGGCUUAACCGGGGAACUGCAUUUGAUACUGGGUUGCUUGAAUUCGGGAGAGGAUAGCGGAAUUCCCAGUGUAGAGGUGAAAUUCGUAGAUAUUGGGAAGAACACCGGUGGCGAAGGCGGCUAUCUGGACCGACAUUGACGCUGAGGCGCGAAAGCGUGGGGAGCAAACAGG
rnacentral:rRNA from 1 species